UACGUAGGGGGCAAGCGUUGUCCGGAAUCAUUGGGCGUAAAGCGCGUGUAGGCGGUUCGGUAAGUCUGCUGUGAAAGUCCAGGGCUCAACCCUGGGAUGCCGGUGGAUACUGUCGGACUAGAGUACGGAAGAGGCGAGUGGAAUUCCCGGUGUAGCGGUGAAAUGCGCAGAUAUCGGGGGGAACACCAAUUGCGAAGGCAGCUCGCUGGGACGUUACUGACGCUGAGACGCGAAAGCGUGGGGAGCAAACAGG
rnacentral:rRNA from 1 species